UACAGAGGGUGCAAACGUUGUUCGGAAUCACUGGGCAUAAAGCGCACGUAGGCGGCUCCGUAAGUGUGGAGUGAAAUCCCACGGCUCACCCGUGGAAUUGCUUUGCAUACUGCGGAGCUGGAGGACGGUAGGGGAGAGCGGAACUCCUGGUGGAGCGGUGAAAUGCGUAGAUAUCAGGAGGAACACCGGUGGCGAAGGCGGCUCUCUGGUCCGUUUCUGACGCUGAGGUGCGAAAGCCAGGGUAGCGAACGGG
rnacentral:rRNA from 1 species